GCGUCCGUUUAUCAGCUGUGCA
rnacentral:siRNA from 1 species